GACGAACGCUGGCGGCGUGCUUAACACAUGCAAGUCGAACGCUUAACCCGCGUCUGUGGGGGGUUUGUGGGGAACGGGGGAGUAACACGUGGGCAACCUUCCCCCGGCGCGGGGAUAACUCCAAGGAAAUGGGGCUAAUACCGGCUGUGGCCGCGGGCCGCAUGGUCUGGGGGCUGAAAGGGUUUCCGGCUGGGGCUGGGCGCGCGGCCUAUCACCUGUUUGGGGGGGUAGUGGCCUACCAAGGCGACGACGGGUAGCUGACCUGAGAGGGUGACCGGCCACCAUGGGCCUGCGGCAGGGACCAGUCUCCUACGGGAGGCAGCAGUGGGAAGCAUUGCGCAAUCGGCGCAAGCCUGACGCAACGACGCCGCGUGGGGGAUGACGGCCUUCGGGUUGUAAACCUCUUUCAGCAGGGACGAAGCGCUAGUGACGGUACCUGCAGAAGAAGCACCGGCCAACUACGUG
rnacentral:rRNA from 1 species